rnacentral:misc_RNA from 1 species
UAGAGGACUAAAACUCCCUAAACCCAUGUGAACUUACCACUGUUGCUUCGGCGGGAUCGCCCCGGGCGCCGUCUGCGUGCCCCGGAGCAAGGCGCCCGCCGGAGGACCCCAAACUCUGUUUUAUGUUGGCACAUCUGAGUGGAAUCAUACAAAUGAAUCA